UCCACUCCAUAUUGUCAGGGCCAUCUUUGAUAUUGUACCGGACCCUGGGCAAACAUUUGCAUGGGGCCCCUGCCCCCUGCCCCCUGCCAGACAUACUAACACGCAUACACAGAGACAUGCACUGACAGACAUACAGACACACACGCGGAGACAGGCACACAUUGACAGACAUACUGACACACACACACAGAUACAUACACUACAGACAUACUGACACACACACACACACACACACAUACA